rnacentral:rRNA from 1 species
AUACGGAGGAUGCGAGCGUUAUCCGGAUUUAUUGGGUUUAAAGGGUGCGUAGGCGGUUUGCUAAGCGGGAGGUGAAAUGCCGGCGCUCAACGUCGGAAGUGCCUCCCGAACUGGUGGACUUGAAUGACUCUGCCGUGGGAGGAAUGUGUAGUGUAGCGGUGAAAUGCUUAGAGAUUACACAGAACACCGAUUGCGAAGGCAUCUCACGAAGGGUUGAUUGACGCUGAGGCACGAAAGCGUGGGGAUCAAACAGGAUUAGAUACCCUGGUAGUCCACGCAGUAAACGAUGAUGGCUAACCGCUGGAUCCAUCGGUUCAGUGGCCAAGCGAAAGCGAUAAGCCAUCCACCUGGGGAGUACGACCGCAAGGUUGAAACUCAAAGGAAUUGGCGGG